CAAGACCAGAAAAGCCCACGACCUCCGCCUUCAUUCAUAAAAAUAGGAAACCGAACUCAAAAUCACCAUUUUGAGUGUCACGAGGAGGACUCCGAGCGAGGUCACGAGCUGAAUGAACGUGAAAAACAAGAACAAGACCCCACAAUAGGCCAAUUGUAAAUAAUGAGGCGUGAGAAAGUCCGACUUGAAAACCAAGGGGAAAAGGGAGUGGACAACAAUAGACUUCCUGUCAAACCAGCUGACAUCAUGUCAUUUGGGAAAAUGUGAUUGGUGAAGCCGUAGAUCUGCCCACGUCAUGUCAACUCUGACCAAAAAGUCUUUGACUGCAUCAAACAUUGAAGAGACCAAGGUCUGGUUUGAAAAAGCUGGACACAAAAGAGAUAAAGUUAUUUAUAGUUUUUUACAUCAAGGACAACAACAAAUAAAACGUUUU